GGGUGCGAUCAUACUAGAACGAAUACACUAGAUUCCAUCAGAACUCUGCAGUUAAGCGUGCUUGGGCGAGAGUAGUACUAAGAUGGGUGACCUCUAGGGAAGUCCACCUGUUGCACCGC